rnacentral:rRNA from 1 species
GAUGAACGCUGGCGGCGUGCUUAAUACAUGCAAGUCGAACGGAGACUUUGUAGCAAUACGGAGUCUUAGUGGCGAACGGGUGCGUAACGCGUUGGUGACCUGCCCCGAAGAGGGGGAUAACAGUUCGAAAGGACUGCUAAUACCCCAUGUGGUCAUGAAGGUUAGAGGCUUCAUGACUAAAGUAGCAAUACACUUCGGGAGGGACCUGCGUCCCAUCAGCUAGUUGGUAGGGUUACGGCCUACCAAGGCUUCGACGGGUAGGGGACCUGAGAGGGUGGUCCCCCACAUUGGCACUGAAACACGGGGCCAAACACCUACGGGUGGCAG